rnacentral:misc_RNA from 1 species
CACACAUACCAGGAGAUCUCCAAACAGAGAGGGGGCUUCUGCAUUGAUCUGCCGGCCGGCCAUUGGCAACCGAAGUGCAGGGUAUGCGCGCCUGCGAUGUCGCAUAUUCGAUGUGCGCUCAUCCUCUCCGCUGGCGUGGCAGCCGGCGUGAGCACCGCCCCAUACCUUUGCUUUUCUGGCCAGACGCCCGCUGCGCCACCGUCGCGUCUACCUUUCUAUGCCGCGCGCCGCUCGGCGUCCGGCUUUCAUAGCGGCAGCAGUAACGGCAGCCCAGCCGAGGAGGAUGCCAUGGACGCUGCCAGCAGGCAGGCGAGCGUGGCUUCUGUGACGGAAGGUCUUUCAUCCCUCUACAGGUGUGCGUGUGAGCUGCUGGACUUGUCAACGCGAGCGCUGAUGGAAGGGACGGCGACGGCUGCGGCGGUAGCAGCAGCAGGUGCACAUGCGGCUGCCAACGCCACUACAGCGGGGCUAUCACAUCGCUCGCCGGUUUGCAGCGGCGACGCCGUUGUCCAGUGUGCCGGUCGUCAUCUUAGUGGCGCCGCCGAGGUGGAAAAGCACGUUGCCGAUUUUGCCACUGACGCCGAAGUGACGUUAUGUGCGUCUGCACAGUCGGUCCUCAACGAGAGGACCGCGGUGCUUCGCGCGGCGCCGCACAAGCUGAAGGAUCGCUUCCUGCACUACGCGAAGCGCGACCCGGCAACAGGAGAGCUUGUUCUUAGCCUCGAGGGAUUUGUGCGCUGCAUGCUCUUAUUGCCUAACGACGGCGACGCUGACGUAGGGUGGCGUCGCACGGGCUCUGGCGCCGCAAGCGACAGUGGUGCGGUGACACACAAGAGCCCCUCGACGACUUUCUCUGGCACUGCUGAUAUCUCUGUCAACCCUUUCUGCGCGAAGGCUAUCGGCGGCCGAGGCCAGUCACGGUGUCACUCGUCCUGGCUGCAGCAGCUACCUCGAGCUGUGCAGCAGCGCUUCGUGCAGCUCUUCCACUGGGUCGAUCUCAACGGAAACAACUUCAUUGGAUAUGCUGAAUUCGUGGUGCUCUUCACCUUCCUGUCCACACCACAGCAAACGCUGAAGCGCGCCUUCAGCGUGUUCGACUUGGAAGACAGCGGCCGCCUGAGCGAGUGGGAGUUUUGCCACCUCCUGAACACGAUCAUGGUGGAUCCGGCGGUGCAGGUGCGCUACGCUGCCGCAACGAGCGGCGCUGGUGGCCGUAGAGGGGCCGCCGCAGCGGCCUCGCCCUCCUCGGCGUUCGCCUCGGCAACACCUCAGACCAUUACUACAGCAAGGGCACCGCACUUGGCCCCAUGCGUUCCACCGACCCCCGAGGCAGCCACGCCAGCGGUCGCUUCAGCGCCCCGCCCAACCACUGCGAGGCGCGCAGGUACGUCGCGGCGCAGUGAGCAAGAGCGGCGGAGUCAGAAGGAUUGCCUGAAUUUUGAUAUUUCAUCGGAGCUCAUGCGGCCGUUGCUCUUCGGUCCUUUGCCACUGCAAGUCAGCGCCGCGCCCGGAUCGACGAAUUAUGACCGCAAAGCCGCCCUCGCCGCUUCGGUCUUGACCAGCAAUGCGGUCCAGGGUGCCGCAGCGGUUGUAGACUCGGCAACGAACGACACUGCCGGCGGGAUGUUGCCCUCGCCUCGCGCUGUUUCGCAGCUGCCAGACAUCAGCCACUUGGCCUGGUGGCAAAAGUGGGGUGACACUUGGCGCUGCCUUCUCAGCAAGGUGUGGACACCCUACCCGUCUUGCGCACCAGCCAGCUGCGACGCUGCGUGCGGCACCCUCGCGGUAGCCUCUAUAACUGAGCCGGCCGCCAUCGCUGCCACUGCGGCUCCAUCCCGCCUGUCUCAGCUACAGUUGGCGGCGCAGGAGGAUUCGCUGCUGCAUAUGGUCUCGUAUCCCACCUUAGUGUACCGUCUGGACUACCUCCGUUCGCAGCUGCGUGCCAUCGAGUUCGGCCUUUGCGACCCAGCCAACACCGGCACCAUUUCUCUGGACGAUUGCCGUCGCCUCCUCCGCGGGGACGUCCGAAGGACCGUGAAAGCGGAGCAUCCAGCGCUGCAGGAGCGGCAGCAGCAGGCUGACGAAACUGCCGUGACGUGGCACUUUUAUCAGAAGAUGCUCGACGUGAUACGAGAGUCCGACAGGAUUUUGGCGGCCCUGCGGCUCGCCUUAGACGCCAUGCCGCCGGUGCCCGAGGAGACGCUGCGAGGUGGUGCCAUCCCCGACGAAGCGCUGGAGGCGGCCACGCAGGCGAUCCCGGAAAUGGUGAGGCUGAGCGUCCUGCAUUACACGUCGAGAGCCGCCGAGGGCGCGGCAGUCGAUGGGGCGCCACUGCCAGCAACAGCAGAAGUAACGGCCUCGCAGGAUGACGGUCGCAAUGUCGCAGAUCGUAGCCCCUUCAGUCCAGCGGACGUUACGACGGCGGAUGCAGCGGAUGGCAAGAGCGUGGGCGAGGGGCGUGCGGCUUCCCGUCAUUUGAAGGCGUCGCUGGUGCGGCCCACGGCGCUCACAUGGAAUCAAGUCGACCGCGUGCUUGUCAUGCUCGGCACUGUGACGCAGCUGAGCGAGGCUGAGCGGUCGCUGUUUCGUGCUCUGCUGGACGACGACGGCUCUGACUCGCUGUCGCCCGCCGAGUUCGCCCGACUGUGCACGCUGAAGGAGGCGUUUUUUGCCCAGCAACUGCCUCGUUUUGACGAGCCGAAGCGGAACGCCGUCCAGCAGUUCUUCCACUGCAUGCAACAGCUCGAGUGAGAGGAUCCGUGGUGGCGUGCGCUUUUCUGUCGGUGUAUCCAUGUAGCAUGUAUCUGCUGAUAUCAUAGCACGUCAAGGCAUUGCCGCGGCUUCGGAAAGAAAAAAAAAAGACAUCGCAUCGACAAGAGACGCAAAGACGCGUGCGCAUGCGUUUGUGUUUGAUGCCUCUGAGUGGGAGGGGCAGCGGCUUUUCAGUGUGUGCGUGUGCGUGUGCGUCUUGGGCUGAAAGCGCGCGCUCAUCAUUACUGCCGCACGCGACGAUUCUCCGACUCGCGGCACGGCAGCAGGAGGGGAGAGUAACAGCCCUCUAAGGAGGGUGUCCGGGGCGGGGGCAGCACAUGCGAGAUAGAGAAAGUGGAGAAACAUAAAGCGCCGAGGUACGCGCCGAAAGAGGGGUGAGAGGUGCCGUCCCCCGACGUGUCUCUCUGCGUUUCUCUCGUGAUACUCCCCACCCCCAUCCCCAAAGCAGAAGAAAGGAGAGGGGCGCUGCAGGUGGGGCUUGCGUGCUCGCAAAAUGUGUGGAGAUGCGCGCGUCGUUCGCAAACCGAUCGAACGGCACCCAUGAGGGCGCCAAGCCCGCUCCUCCUUUGCGCACCUACACAUGGUCGCGCUGUUCACGCAUCCGCGGCGAUGAAGAGCGCCUUUGCACACAUCUUCGCCAUUUGCCCCGCUUCUGUUGGCCCUAUGCUCUCGGACUGCCUUCAUCUUUUCGACUCACUCUCUCGCCCGACGUGUUUACGCGUGUGUGUCUGUGUUUGCGUUUGUGCGUCUGCUGUGGGGCGAGCAAG